rnacentral:rRNA from 1 species
UACAGCAGCCAUAUCACCCUGAUACUUACAAAUGGCAACCCAUUGAACCCCAGCAGGUAUGAGCCUGGUGAGUACCUGGAUGGGAGACCCCCUGGGAAAAACUAGGUUGCUGCUGGAA